AAAAAUAAACAGAUUAAAACAACAGCAAGAAGGCAAUCAAAGUGGCAUGUAAGAACAGCCUGAUAUAGGCCACAACCUAGCCCUCAAGCCUACUGCGGCUUCCAGUUGCCAUGGCAACCUCCAAUGGAAUUAUGGGACUUGCAGUUCAGGGCGGAGCUCUCCGAACCCUUAGCCGGAGGACUCUUGGGCCUCACUGAACUACAAGUCCCAGAAUGCCUCCGUACGUUCAUAGCGCCAUACCAGUCUAUCAAGCGCCUAGGUCUCGAUUCCAGGUCCUGUCUCCUCACAAGUCACUCUUGCGAGAGGCGCUGAGGAAGAAAAUAGCUUUCCUUGAGCCUCAGAGCGCUUCUCGCUUCUCUCUUCCUCUUUAGCUCUAUUUUGAUUUGAUUCUUGGCGCGCUCGUGCAAGUUCGUGGCUCAGGCGGAGGAAGGAGCGCCCUCAGCAUGACUGCAGAGCCAGCCCCGAGCAGCCUUUCCCCUUCUUCGCCUGGCAGGGCGGCCAGAGCCAAAGCCCGGUGGAAGCUGCUCAGACAGCUUGUAGCAGUGAAGUUUCUCUGUUUCCUUAGUGACCAUUCUCAUUUACUUUUCUGGAUCAUGUGCUUGUUAUAUUGGUCCCUGGGGCACAUUCAUUUAGAAUGGCUGUAUAAGGUUCUGAAAGAAAAACACUUGGAGAAUGUCCACCUUCAGCAAGUAUCAGUAAGGAGAUUUGCUUCGUUCAAUCUUUUCUCAAGCAUGAAAGAGGACAGAAAGCUAGCUGAAGAGGAUGAUGAAACUUGGGUUCGAUACAAAAGCAUCUCUUUUCCUGAGUAUAGUAUAUCUUUAAGAUGGAACAAUGGACAAUUAAAUGUUGAAGAUGUUCUGGCAAGUUUUGACAACACAGGGAACGUUUGCCCUGGGGAGAAUGAAGCCUUUCCUACCAGCGCUGGUGGGCCCCUGCUCUGUGCCCGCCAUGUCUAGCUGCCUUUGCUCCUGCAGCCAUGGAAGAAGGAAUGCCGCUCCGCCGGGAAACGUGGAAGACUAAAAAAAGGGGACAGGACUCGUGGAGGACUCCACCCCUAUUCCGAGUCCUUCACAUUUCCUGGCAUGGCCGGCUGGAACGGCAGCAGAAACAGGAGCCUGGCUGCCUCUUCCAGGCUCCUCUUCUGCUGUCCACCCCCACUCUCUCACUUUCUUACACUCUCACCCACAUUCCCUCCCUCGCUUGCUCGCUCACCGGGCAGGCACAAAGCAAGGGGGCAGCCCUGAGAAGGAGAAGCAGCAGUGGGGUGGGUAAAUAAAUAAAUAAAUAAUUUCCCCACGAAACAGCGAGUCCGCAGUAAGCGAACCACAAAGUAGCGGGGGAACACUGUAUUUAUAAAGCACUUUGGAAACCAACAUACUUGUAGCUCUCUUUGAGAAAAAGGUCUUUGAACUGUAGAGAGGAAACAUUUGGGGUAGUUGUUAAAGUGGCUAAUACUGGGCUUUAGAACAUGAAGAAAAUAUUUCGUUCUAAAAUGCAUGAUGACAAAAUAUUCCUAUUCCUUGAUUCUUAAUUCUUAUUUCCAUGUUUCCAUGAGUUCAAGUUUAUUAAGCUGGGCUAAUCUUUUUUGUGUUGCUCUUAGAGAGGGGACACUGCAAUCCUUUGACUUGGCAAGAUCAUAUGACCUGAAGAAGCAAUGAGAGUAUACCCUCCAACCAUUUCGGUUUAGAAGAAACACCCCUGUUAGUAUUCUGCCAUCCCAUUUUUUCAGCUAUCUUUAAAAUGUCAUGGUUUAUCUCUUUUCUGCUCCCCCUCACUUUCCCGUUUUGUCCUCAACUUACUUCAAUUGCUGCAAAUUAAGUUCAAAGUAUAGUAGAGUCUCGCUUAUCCAACCUUUGCUUAGCCAACGUUCUAUAUUUUCCAAUGCAGUCUGCCUUUUAGUAAUCAGUGUUUUGCUAAUCAAUAUUUUCAAUACCUUGCAGUGUUUUGGUGCUAAAUUCAUAGAUAACAGUAAUUACUACAUAACGUUACCAUGUAUUGAACGGCUUUUUUUGUCAAUUUGUUUUAAAACAUGAAGUUUUGGUGCUUAAUUUGCAAAAUCAUAGUGUAAUUAGACAUUUAAUAGGCUUUUCCUUAAUCCCUCCUUAUUAUCUAAUAUUUUCGCUUAUCCAACGUUCUGCUGGCCUGUUUAUGUUGGAUAUGCGAUACUCUACUGUACAUGUAUACAAAGCAUGCUGUCUGUGUCCUUGUUCAGAAGAUUUUACUGCAUUUUGUGUCCCUGUGAUAAUUAGAUUUUGAAAAAAUUGGUUUGUUGUGGAAACAAAGAUUGGUGAGAAAGCUUCAGUGGAGACUCCUUUUCCCUAUGAUAAUACUUCCAGGAGUGGAUUUCCCUUUCGAGGGAUAGAUUUAUCUCACUUAAUGUUGUCUCACCCCGUUCUUAACUAUAAGCUAUUUGUAAGUAGGAUGUUUGCAACUCGGGGACUGCCUGUACAGGGAAGUUCUUUAAAUAAAUUGUAUUUGUCAGAAAACUGUUUUAUGAAAUUAUUUUGGCUGAAUAUUGUGUAGAGAUCUGAUUUAUGCUUUUGGACCUACAAUUCUUAUUUUUCAGUUUUUCGUGGUACAGAGUUUUUGUAUUAAGUCUUGAAAUAAUACCUCUGUUCCUUCAGUUCUUGCAACUAUCAGUUGUUUUGUCUCCUUUGCUUUUGUUGAAAAAGCUUCCAAAUAUUUCUUUUAAGCUUUCUUUCUAGUCUUCAUAUCAAGCACUGUGAUGAUGGGCAUGUAGUUCUCUUACCUUUCUGAAGAUCAAAUACCAGCUCCAUUUGAAAGAUCACCUAGCAGGAAUAGUAGAGAGAAAGGCUGCUGUCACUUUCCCCUUCAGCAUGCUUAGCUGGUACCAAUCUAUUGCAUAAUACUAUCGCUUGACUUGGCUUUUGUAGCUGAUAGAACAAAAACAAGGCUGUGGUUCUGGAGGACGAAAGCAAAAGAAGGUUAUUUGUGAAGAAUCAGAACUCUCUCUCUGUGUGUGUGCAUGAAUGUGCAUGCAUGCAUGUGCAUUCGUAAUAGCUGUUAAAAAUAAUAAUGACUUAGACUUGACUAUAAGCCCCUGCAGUUUAUCAGCCACUGAAGCAAGUAUUUAUUCCUGCAAUUUUAUACAAAUGAUCUAAGGAAGCGCUAAAGAGAGGCAUUAAUAUACCAAAGUGGUGUCAGAAUAGGUGAUCUAACCUAUGCCAAACAUCUCACUUUAAUAGAAACUCUAAAGGUUCCAUUCUUUUUUCUCUGUCAGCCAAAAAAAAAAAAAAAGAAUACUUUUAUGAACUCUUGGAUGAUACAUUUGGGUUCUGUACAUAUCUACUCAAAGUUACAUUGUCCAACUUACUUGGAAAGUAGUGUUAAUGAACAGCGUUAUUAUGUUCUGGAGCAAGACUUAAGUCAAUAUGGAGAAGGAAAGUGGUGAGCCAUCCUAAAGAUUAAGGCAGGAUGCUCUUUCUUUUGAUCGUUUGUUGAUGAGAAAUAAUUUAAAAUGUAUUUUUUACCUUUUCCAAUUAGGCAUGUAAUGAAUAGUAAUUCUGGAAACAACAAAUUAUUUUUUUGAUGAAAUAAGAUUCCCUAUUUAAUACAAUGAAGAAAAUUGUGACUUCUCCCUUUUAUGCAGUGAAAAUUAUAAACAGCAUUCUAAAGAUAUCACAUGCUAAAUAAAUAAAUAAAUAAAUAAAGCAGCACUACUCUGAACGAAGAGUGUCCUAAGUGAUUUUUCUCCUUCCUACCCCUACUUACAGCCAUUGUAGGCAUUCCUGCUAAGUGGACCUAACACAGUAGUAGUAUAUUUUAUGCUAGCAAGCCAUGAUAGAAAAGUGCUUGAAGUUCAGGGGGCAUUUGUCUCCUUUCUCACAAAUUCAUUUAAGUACCAGUCUUGCCAUAGCUUUAACUGGGGCAGACAACCAUACAAAUGACUUGAGAUAAAAUGAAAAUAAUGGACUGAGCUGGGUGCCGGGGGUGGUAGUUACACUGCAUGCACAUCAAUAAGCAUCGAGUGUUAUUCUAUGCUAAUGUAAGCCUGAUGGAUCAGCUUUCGCUUUUAGCCUAGAGGACCAUUAAGCACUAGAAGCUGGGUCAAACUGAUACAGUAAGGCAGAUGUACCCCAAUGGUUGGCAACAGUGGUUAACAAGCUGUAAUUCAGUGAGCAAGACUAAUACUGCUUAAAAUCUUUGUGAUGAGGAUGGAUCAGAGAAGAGAUAAUACGUUUUGCUUAUUAGAACUGUUUUGAUUUUGCACAGCAUAAUUACCAUGCAAAACAGAGCAAACCAUAAACCCAGUAAUACUGAAUGCUACUGAAUAUUCUCAUUACAUUUACAAAUACUGAAUUGUUGCAGAAUGGUUUUUCUAAAAAUAUAAACAAAUUGUUCUAGGAGAAUAAUGCAUAAUUGAGACCUCUCACAUGUAAUUACAACUGAAUUAAUUGCUAUGCGUAGCUAGUUACUAAGGUUAUUUAAUGACCUUGAGAGAGUACAAAGCUAUAAAAGGAAAAUGAAAAGUACAGUAGAGUCUCACUUAUCCAACGUAAACGGGCCGGCAGAACAUUGGAUAAGCGAAUAUGUUGGAUAAUAAGGAGAGAGUAAGGAAAAGACUAUUAAACAUUAAAUUAGGUUAUGAUUUUACAAAUUAAGCACCAAAGCAUCAUGUUAUACAACAAAUUUGACAGAAAAGUCAUUCAAUACACAGUAAAGCUAUGUAGUAAUUACUGUAUUUACGAAUUUAGCACCAAAAUAUCAUGAUGUAUUGAAAACAUUGACUACAAAAAUGCGUUGGAUAAUCCAGAACGUUGGAUAAGCGAGUGUUGGAUAAGUGAGACUCUACUGUAAUAUGAUAUGAAGUCAAUGUAAAAAAAAAACAGCAUCAUAUAAGGCUUUGGAAUGGAGUUUGAG
rnacentral:lncRNA from 11 species